UACGUAGGGCGCAAGCGUUAUCCGGAAUUAUUGGGCGUAAAGAGCGUGUAGGCGGUCAGGUAGGUCCGUUGUGAAAACUCGAGGCUCAACCUCGAGACGCCGAUGGAAACCAUCUGACUAGAGUCCGGAAGAGGAGAGUGGAAUUCCUGGUGUAGCGGUGAAAUGCGCAGAUAUCGAGGAAGAACGCCCGUGGCUAAGGCGGCUCUCUAGUACGGUACUGACGCUGAGACGCGAAAGCGUGGGGAGCGAACAGG
rnacentral:rRNA from 1 species